rnacentral:rRNA from 1 species
GACGAACGCUGGCGGCGUGCUUAACACAUGCAAGUCGAACGGAAAGGCCCUGCUUUUGUGGGGUGCUCGAGUGGCGAACGGGUGAGUAACACGUGAGUAACCUGCCCUUGACUUUGGGAUAACUUCAGGAAACUGGGGCUAAUACCGGAUAGGAGCUCCUGCUGCAUGGUGGGGGUUGGAAAGUUUCGGCGGUUGGGGAUGGACUCGCGGCUUAUCAGCUUGUUGGUGGGGUAGCGGCUUACCAAGGCUUUGACGGGUAGCCGGCCUGAGAGGGUGAACGGCCACAUUGGGACUGAGAUACGGCCCAGACUCCUACGGGCGGCCGCAGUGGGGAAUAUUGCACCAUGGGCGGAAGCCUGAUGCAGCAACGCCGCGUGCGGGAUGACGGCCUUCGGGUUGUAAACCGCUUUCGCCUGUGACGAAGCGGGAGUGACGGUAAUGGGUAAAGAAGCACCGGCUAACUACGUG